AAAAAAUAUUCUGUUGAUGUGAUCUGGUAAAAUACAGGAAGUGCCCAGAUGAAAACUUGAAGAAUGGUGGUGAACUGCUUGGGAGAGAUUCCAGGAGAGAAUUGCAAAUGCCAUUUAAGAAAUGAAAGGAUGCAGCACCCUUGAUGCUCUGUGACCUUGGCCAUGUCACUUAACUUCCCUCCGCUUCAAUGUCUUCAUCUACAAACCAGGAAUAAUAGUAUAUAUCACAAAAUGUAUCUAAGAUACAAAUGAGACACUGUGAAGUCCUUGGCACAGACUUAUAAAAGAAGUAGAACACACAUGCUUCCCAUUAGGUGAGAAAGAAACAUGCCUGAGAGUCUAAUGGAUUACUCAAGUCUGUGCUGCCAAGGAAGAACAGAAUCUUUAGAUAUCAUGUGUUUUACAAAUUGAAGUUUGUGGAAACCCUGCAUCAAACAAGUCUAUUGGUGACAUUUUCCCAACAGCAUUUGCUCACUUUGUGUUUCUGUGUCACAUGUUGAUAAUUCUUACAAUAUUUGAAACCUUUUUUAUUAUUAUACAUGUUCUGGUGAUCUGUGAUCAGUGAUCUUUGAUGUUACUACUGUAAUUUUUUUGGAUGCUGUGAACUGUGCCCAUAUAAAAUGGUGAAUUAAAUCAAUA
rnacentral:lncRNA from 10 species